rnacentral:rRNA from 1 species
AAGUGGUCCUAGCCCGGGGAGGUUGUAAGCUUGCUCCUUGGGUGACGAGUGGCGGACGGGUGAGUAAUGUCUGGGAAACUGCCCGAUGGAGGGGGAUAACUACUGGAAACGGUAGCUAAUACCGCAUAACGUCGCAAGACCAAAGAGGGGGACCUUCGGGCCUCUUGCCAUCGGAUGUGCCCAGAUGGGAUUAGCUAGUAGGUGGGGUAACGGCUCACCUAGGCGACGAUCCCUAGCUGGUCUGAGAGGAUGACCAGCCACACUGGAACUGAGACACGGUCCAGACUCCUACGGGAGGCAGCAGUGGGGAAUAUUGCACAAUGGGCGCAAGCCUGAUGCAGCCAUGCCGCGUGUAUGAAGAAGGCCUUCGGGUUGUAAAGUACUUUCAGCGAGGAGGAAGGUGUUGUGGUUAAUAACCGCAGCAAUUGACGUUACUCGCAGAAGAAGCACCGGCUAACUCCGUGCCAGCAGCCGCGGUAAUACGGAGGGUGCAAGCGUUAAUCGGAAUUACUGGGCGUAAAGCGCACGCGGGCGGUCUGUCAAGUCGGAUGUAAAUCCCCGGGCUCAACCUGGGAACUGCAUCCGAAACUGGCCGGUAAUCUUGAGGGGGGUAGAAUUCCGGUGUGCGGUGAAUGCUCAAUCUGGGGA